rnacentral:rRNA from 1 species
UACGGGGGGAGCAAGCGUUGUUCGGAUUUACUGGGCGUAAAGGGCGGGUAGGCGGCCACCGCAAGUCAGUUGUGAAAUCUCUGGGCUUAACCCAGAAAGGUCAACUGAUACUGCGGGGCUAGAGUGCAGAAGGGGCAACUGGAAUUCCCAGUGUAGAGGUGAAAUUCGUAGAUAUUGGGAAGAACACCGGUGGCGAAGGCGGCGAGCUGGUCCAUUACUGACGCUGAGGCGCGAAAGCGUGGGGAGCAAACAGG